AUAACAGAAUCUCCCUCUUCGGUCUCAUGGACUACCUCACUAGAAGCAUCAUCUCCUUUGUAAUUGUUCUCUCUUGCUUCUUCACUACUAUUCGUCUUCUCCUCUGUACCACUCUUCUCUUUACUCUCCUCGCUCUCUUCGCUACUGCCAUUUUCUUUCUUCUCUUCAACCUCUCUCUCUUCCACCACACUCUUCUCUUUACUCUCCUCGUUCUCCUCUGCAACGCCAUUGUCUUUCUUCUCCUCAACCUCACUCUCACUCUCUUCCGUGCUACCUCCAUCUUCUUUCUUCUCUUCAACCUCGCUCUCUUCCGUACUACCACCAUCGUCUUUCUUCUCCUCAAUGUUUGGAUCUUCGUUUUCCUUCUCCUUGU
rnacentral:lncRNA from 1 species